GCGCCGCCGCGGCAGAGCCCGGUGGGGGGAGGCGCGGCGGAGCGUGAGCGGCUCCGAGGGGGACUCGCCCGGUCCGGCCCGCAGUGGAGGGGAGCGAGAGGCGCUGAGACCCGCCGCGGCGAAAGUUUGGGAGGCGCCUCGCGGGCGGGCAGGAGGGGCCGGAGGCCGCGGCGCCAGGAGCAUGAGAGGUCCGCGCCGGCCUCGCCGGUGCCCGUGAGCGGCGGCCCAGGAAUCGCUCCUCCCGCGGGAACCCCCUGAGCUCGCGGCCGGGGUGCCUGCGAGCCCCUCCAGCCGCAGCGCCUGUUCCCGGGCUCGAUUUCCCGUCCCCUGGCGGGGGAAGAGGAGGGGCGGCGGCGGGAGCCCUGCCGGGAUCCCUCGGGACGGCGCGGAGGCGGCUGGAAAGCCCCGCGCCCCAGUAGGCGGCUCCCGCCGAGCCCUCCGGCCGCCGCAGCCCCGCGCUCCCUGCCCGCCGGAGGGUUCGCCCUGCGGGGAGAGGAGGCGGCCGCCCGUGUGCGCAUGGGGGCGGCGGGCGCGGGGCCGGGGCGGAGAGCGACGGGAGAGGCUCCAUGAGGACGGCGGCCCUGUCUCUCCCCCCUCCGCCGCCCGCCCUGCCCUGGCCGCGCUCCCGACCCUGAGGCCGCUCGCUUCGUCUCCGAAAAACUUUUCCGCAGCGUCCGAAGAUGGAGCCCGCCGGUAUGGAUUAUUUCUGCGACCAGGUACAGCAGAAGGACGUGGGCCGCAGGAUGCAGGUCGGCCAGGAGCUGCUGGAGUACCUGAGCGACCCGGCGAGGUCCCCCGAUCUGGAGCAGGACCAGCAGCGCCUUGAUAAAGUGAUCGACGAGUUAACAGCGUGGGUCAACUCCAGUAAUUUUAAGGUAGCACUACUGGGAUUAGAUGUUUUAGGUGCCUUUGUCGACAGACUAUCAGGACGCUUUAAAGCCUAUAUAGGAACUGUUCUCAUGCCUUUGAUAGAUCGUAUGGGAGAUGCCAAAGACCAAGUUCGAGAGCAAGCACAGAAUCUUAUAUUGAAAUUGAUGGAUGAAGCAGCACCACCCAUGUACAUUUGGGAACGCCUUGCUGUUGGUUUUAAACACAAGAAUUACCGAUCCCGAGAAGGAGUGUGUUUGUGUCUUGUUGCUACCUUAAACAUUUAUGGUGCGCAACCAUUAAUCCUCAGCAAGUUGGUGCCACAUCUGUGUAUAGCGUUUGGUGACUCCAAUAGUCAGGUGAGAGAUGCUGCCAUACUAGCCAUUGUAGAGGUUUAUAGACAUGUGGGAGAAAAAGUACGAAUAGAUCUUGCGAAGAGAGGAAUUCCUCCUGGAAGGUUGCAAACAAUCUUUACAAAAUUUGAUGAAGUAAGAAACUCUGGAAAUAUGAUUUUAAGCAGCGUCAGUGACAAAAGCUUUGAUGAUGAAGAGUCAGUGGAUGGAAAUAGGCCAUCAUCAGCUGCUUCAGCCUUCAAGGUUCCAGCACCUAAAAAGCCAGGAAAUCCUCCAAACAGUGCAAGAAAGCCAGGAUCAGCUGGUGGGCCUAAGGUUGGAGGUUCCUCUAAAGAAGGAGGAGCUGGAGCUGUGGAUGAGGAUGAUUUUAUUAAGGCAUUUACAGAUGUUCCUGCUGUACAGAUCUAUUCUAGUCGAGAACUUGAAGAAACGUUGAACAAAAUCAGGGAAAUUCUCUCAGAUGACAAACAUGAUUGGGAUCAACGAACUAAUGCGCUGAAGAAAGUUCGAUCAUUGCUUGUUGCUGGAGCUGCACAGUAUGAUGGGUUUUUCCAGCAUUUACGGUUGUUGGAUGGUGCUUUCAAGCUGUCGGCCAAGGAUCUCAGAUCCCAGGUGGUUAGGGAAGCGUGCAUUACUGUAGCCCACCUGUCAACUGUUCUGGGAAACAAGUUUGAUCAUGGCGCUGAAGCUAUUGUGCCUACUCUUUUUAAUCUGGUUCCCAACAGCGCCAAAGUGAUGGCAACUUCUGGGUGCGCAGCCAUCAGAUUCAUUAUUCGGCAUACUCAUGUGCCACGACUCAUACCUUUAAUAACAAGCAACUGUACCUCAAAAUCAGUUGCAGUUAGAAGGCGCUCCUUUGAAUUUUUAGACCUGUUGUUACAAGAGUGGCAAACACAUUCAUUGGAAAGGCAUGCAGCUGUCUUGGUUGAAACAAUCAAGAAGGGCAUUCAUGAUGCUGAUGCAGAAGCAAGAGUGGAGGCAAGAAAGGCUUAUAUUGGUCUUAGAAAUCACUUUCCUAGUGAAGCUGAGACUCUGUACAAUUCUCUGGAGCCACCCUAUCAAAGAAGCCUUCAGACGUACUUGAAGAAUUCUGGCAGUAUAGCAUCUCUCCCUCAGUCAGACAGGUCAUCCUCCAGCUCACAGGAGAGCCUCAAUCGACCUCUAUCUUCUAAAUGGUCUGCAGCCAGUCCAGCAAGUUUUGCAGGCAGAGUUUCAGGCAGCAGCAAGGGUGUUCCAAGCCCUGGAACCCUGCAGAGGUCUCGCAGUGACAUCGAUGUCAACGCUGCCGCAGGCGCGAAGGCCCGGCACGCUGCUGGACAGACAGCUGGAGCCGGGCGCUUGUCAGCUGCUGGUCUACCUCCAGGAUCCUACGCUUCGCUAGAGGAUACUUCUGACAAGAUGGAUGGAACAGCUUCUGAAGAUGGUCGUGUACGAACAAAGCUUUCAACCCCUUCUGUUGGUAUUGGAAAUUCUAAAACAGAUUCCAGAGGACGGAGUAGAACCAAAGUGGUGUCACAAUCUCAGCGUUCAUCAUCGCCAGACCAAAAUGAAGGAUCACAGUCUGCUAACCCCAUUGGUGCUGGCAGUAGAUCUGGGUCUCCUGGAAGAGUUUUGACAACAACCACACUUUCCACUAUGAACACAGGAGUUCAGAGAGUGUUGGUGAAUCCUGCAGCUGCACAAAAGCGAAGCAAAAUCCCACGAAGUCAGGGAUGCAGUAGGGAAGCUAGUCCUUCUAGGUUGUCAGUAGCGCGAGGCAGCCGCAUUCCUCGGCCUAGUGUGAGUCAGGGGUGCAGUCGGGAGGCCAGCCGUGAAAGUAGCAGGGACACAAGCCCUGUCCGCUCUUUCCCACCCCUUGCUUCCAGACAUCACUCCAGAUCUACUGGUGCCCUCUACGCUCCUGAUGCUUAUGGGGCCACAGGUACUGGCUUCGGAAUUAGUCAGUCGAGUAGAUUGUCGUCAUCAGUUAGUGCUAUGCGAGUUCUGAACACAGGUUCUGACGUGGAAGAGGCAGUAGCAGAUGCUUUGCUCUUAGGAGACAUACGGACUAAGAAGAAGCCUGUGCGAAGAAGAUAUGAGUCCUAUGGGAUGUACUCAGAUGAUGAUGCCAACAGUGAUGCUUCAAGUGCCUGUUCAGAAAGGUCCUAUAGCUCUAGGAAUGGAAGCAUACCAACAUACAUGAGACAGACAGAAGACGUGGCUGAAGUCCUGAAUCGCUGUGCCAGCACCAACUGGUCAGAGAGAAAAGAAGGCCUUCUGGGCCUGCAAAACUUACUAAAGAACCAGAGAACUUUAAGUCGUGUUGAGUUGAAAAGGUUGUGUGAAAUCUUCACAAGAAUGUUUGCUGAUCCUCACAGUAAGAGAGUGUUCAGUAUGUUUUUGGAGACACUGGUCGACUUCAUCCAGGUCCAUAAAGAAGAUCUGCAGGACUGGCUGUUUGUACUGCUGACACAGCUGUUGAAAAAAAUGGGCGCUGAUUUGCUUGGAUCUGUACAAGCAAAAGUUCAGAAGGCGCUUGAUGUCACAAGGGAAUCUUUUCCAAAUGACCUCCAAUUCAGUAUUUUAAUGAGAUUUACUGUUGACCAGACCCAAACACCUAGCCUGAAGGUCAAAGUUGCAAUCCUAAAAUACAUAGAAACUCUUGCACAACAGAUGGAUCCAGGAGAUUUUGUUAACUCAAGUGAAACAAGGUUAGCAGUGUCUCGAAUCAUCACCUGGACCACUGAACCUAAAAGCUCAGAUGUUAGGAAGGCUGCACAGUCAGUGCUGAUUUCCCUUUUUGAACUCAACACUCCAGAGUUUACAAUGCUAUUGGGUGCUUUACCAAAAACAUUUCAGGAUGGAGCUACAAAGCUUCUCCAUAAUCAUCUCCGGAAUACAGGCAAUAGUGGUCAGGGAUCGAUGGGAAGUCCUUUAACAAGACCUACUCCACGCUCCCCAGCAAGUUGGUCAAGUCCUCUCACUUCCCCAACCAAUACAUCGCAGAACACUUUGUCACCAAGUGCAUUUGACUAUGACACUGAAAAUAUGAAUUCUGAAGAUAUUUACAGCUCUCUUCGUGGAGUCACUGAAGCCAUUCAGAAUUUCAGUUUUCGUAGUCAGGAAGAUAUGAAUGAGCCUGUAAAACGAGAUGCUAAAAAAGAUGAUGGUGACUCGAUUUGCAGUGCUUCUGGAAUAGUAGACAUACGAGCAGGAAGCGGUGUGAGCGAUACAGGUCGAACAGCCCUUGAUAACAAAACGUCAUUACUCAACACAAUGCCUCCCCACUCCUCACCACGCUCACGAGAUUACAACCCGUACAAUUACUCUGAUGGUAUUGGUCCAUUUAAUAAAUCUGCUUUGAAGGAAGCCAUGUUUGAUGAUGAUGCAGAGCAGUUUCCUGAUGAGCCUUCCAUGGACCAUUCCGAUCUGGUUGCCGAGUUACUGAAAGAGUUAUCAAACCAUAAUGAGAGAGUUGAGGAAAGAAAGGCUGCCCUGUACGAGCUCAUGAAGUUAACUCCAGAAGAGUCCUUUAGUGUUUGGGAUGAGCACUUCAAAACAAUACUACUUUUGCUGCUUGAAACUCUUGGAGAUAAAGAGCAUGCAAUUAGAGCUUUGGCUCUGAAAGUUCUAAGAGAAAUUCUAAGAAACCAGCCAGCAAGGUUUAAGAAUUACGCAGAGCUCACGAUCAUGAAGACAUUAGAAGCACAUAAGGAUCCUCAUAAGGAGGUGGUGAGAUCUGCUGAAGAAGCUGCUUCCAUGCUGGCCACUUCCAUUAGCCCAGAUCAGUGCAUCAAAGUUCUCUGUCCAAUUAUCCAAACUGCAGAUUACCCCAUUAAUCUGGCUGCAAUCAAAAUGCAGACAAAAGUUAUAGAAAGAGUAUCUAAAGAAACCCUUACUCAGCUUCUACCAGAGAUUGUGCCAGGUCUAAUACAGGGUUAUGAUAAUUCAGAGAGCAGCGUUCGUAAGGCAUGUGUUUUCUGCCUUGUAGCCAUUCAUGCAGUAAUUGGUGAUGAACUAAAACCACAUCUCAGUCAACUCACUGGCAGUAAAAUGAAAUUAUUGAACCUUUACAUCAAACGUGCACAAACAGGCUCUGGAGCAGGAGAUACAGCAGCAGAUAUGUCUGGACAAAGCUAAUGAAGCUGACAAGAGUUACCCAGGUCUCCUAAAGCAAGGGCAAGGCCCUCUUCAGUGAAAGGAAAAUCCUUACAUACAACUUCUGGAACUUUUUUCUUGUGUUUAUUUCCCCCCCCCCCUUUUUUUAUUUUGGUUUUUGUUUUUUUUUUCUUUUCUUUUCUUUAACCAACGGCUGUCCUCAGCCUGCAUGUGACUGUUGCAAUAGAAUUAUUCCAAAUCCAAGGAAAAACAGUAUUAACAUCAGUUGAUCAAAGCAGAAUAAAAUUUUAAAAUAAUCUUAUCCAUCAGUUACCCUGUUCAUAAUCCUCUGUGUCUUCCCAUUAACUUUUGCCAGUGUUACUGUAUUAAAAAAAGAUUUUUUUAAUGCUAAUUAAAAAGGUAUGCUUUAAGCUUCAGAAGUUAAAAUAUAAAUUCUGUUGCUUUACUCAGCUGCAGAUAACAUUACUUUUUUAUUGCUGUUUUGUUUGAGUAUCAUGUCCUUCGCUAGAAACAAGAAGUGAUGUGAAACAAGGCUGAACUAGUCUGAACUGCAGUGAGACUCGUUCACUGUGUUGGUGGUUCAUCAUCUUAUUUACAGCUUGUUUGGGAUAUUCUGGAGAUUGAGAAAUAUGCCUAUAAAAAGAAAGCUGGAUUGAUCCAGUUCUGUAAAAGUGAUAUUGUUCAUUGGUUGUAUGUUUGUUGCAUAAAUAAGAAUUUAGUGUGCGCAGCAGAGGACUGGUACAACCAGUACCUCUUAAUGUGGAAGACAGCCCUCCCAGGGCAGCAUUGCCGACCUGGUGAUAGCGUGGCAGUCUGCUACCGAGCAGCAGAGUUAAUGGUCACUUGAUGGACGUGAACCAUCCUUGUCACCUUUCGUUCUUCAAGCAGGAUGCUUCAGAAUGGAGUGCUCUGCCCAAGCAUGCUCACAAGCUGAUUUAACUGAGAAAUGGGAUGAAACAGUGCCCUUCCCAGGAAUGGUGGACCUUUUUUUUUCCUGACUUUCUUCCCUUUGAUUGUGAUGUUGUCUAGUUGUAGGAAGUGUAUCCUGAUAAGAGAGAAAAUUGUGGUGCCAAGGAUGAUGAUCUAUGCUAGGCUAAAAUUCUCUCUACCUCUUCAGGGUGACUAAUUUUUGACUGAGCUGCUGCAUAUAGCACCCAGUAGAAAAACUAUCUACAGAAAAAAAAUCUUCUUUAUUUUUGUUUUCCAAAUUAUCACUUAAUGUGUAUUCCGAACUCUGCUCUUCAACAUUGCAGCCAAAUAUCAUAAGAAACUACUUACACACUUUACUUGCUAGGAACCCUGAAAAACAAAACUGAAUAAAAAAAUUAAGUCAGAUGCUUGUAGUUACAUGAAAGGUUGUUUUUACUUUAGUUUGAAGUGAAUGCAAUAGAAAGAGCUAAGAUGUGGUUAUUAAAGAAGCAAUGCCAUUGCAGAGAUUUAUUUGGAGGAAAAGUUGUAGAAAUAUAUGUAAAGACUUAAAACCAAGACUGUCAUAACACAUUGCUAGCCCUUUUUAGCAGCUACAUCAAGAAAAUAGUAUCUCCUCUUUCUUUCCUUUGUUACGUGUAACAUCCUUGUUGUUUUCUACUGUUUAAUUACAUUGUGUAUUUAUAGUUCUAUGCUUACCAUUGUGCAUAUACUGGCAAUAAAAUGUACAUAACAUUACUUAAAAGAUUAGCAAUGUAUACAUUCUGGUUUUCUGCUUUAUUUGAUCACAUGCUAUAAGAAAAAUUAUAAAUGUGAUUGAUACAACAUUGGUUUUAAAAAAAAUUAUCUUAAUCUUCAUGUUUUGUGUGUCCAAAUGAUGUUUCUUUAUAUACUCUUGUUACUAAAUCUGACUUGGCAUUUGAGAACAUGCUGUGAAUAUAGGUGUGCUAGACAAAUUUUUUAAAAAUUGAAUAGAGUCUUUAUGAACACAGUUUCCUUCCUCUAGGCAGGUUUCUUGUUUAUUAUUUCAUUUAUUUGCACAUUAUACAUCAUUCGCAUUUUAUUUUUUUAAUAUUUAAAAAAAUAUUUUUCAGUCUACAAUCCUGUAGUUGUUUCAUUUUGAUUAUACAAAAGGUCACUUAAAAAAAUUGCACAAAUUCUAAGCUUAGUAGUCCUUCCUGUAUGUUAUUCCUGCAUUUUCUGUAGGUAAUAUUUCUUUUCAGAGGAUCAUUGCAAGAUGACUUUAUUUGUCAUCUUUUUGAAGAUGCUAUUUCAUACUGAAAAUAUAAGUUAUUGAAACAUACAGUAUAUAUUCUGGAUGGAACCUAGUUUUUUUAUGUGUAAACAAAAGUUGGUAAGAAAGAAAUGGUCCUGUAUGACUGAAAAAUUUUGCUCCAGGUGGGGGGGAGAAAGAUAUUUACAUAAAAGUUUUUUCAUUAGUUUUGCUUUUAAGCCAUCUUUAAAUGGAGAUAUCCCAUGUAUUAAAAAUCUGAAUGCAAUAUAUUUAAAUUAAUAUUUUACUCAUGAUAUGACUAGUUCUGUUUCUAACAAAGAUGGGGUUGCUAUCUUUGUAAACAGGGUAGAAUCUGUUUAUAUUACAUGAAGCCAUCAGAAUGUAAGAAUUUGGAAAGAAAAUUAUUUCCACGGCAGCCAGUUAUCAGAUUCACUGCAUUGCUUUUGUCUUCAUUUCCUAUAUUAUAAAUAGACAUUGGCUCAGUUAAAUUGAAGCAGUGAUUAGUCAUGCCUUAUGUUCCUGCUGGAGGUGGUUUCUCUAAUGGAUUAGCAUAAAGAUCUGGGAAAAACUAGGACAGAUAUAAGUUGCUGUUCUUUCAGAAAGGGGUUCUGUAUGUUCUCUCUAAUAUCCUGUCAGGAUAGGUCAUUGCAGUCAUUUGGAUACCGAAAUGUAAAUCUUAAAGGUUGAGUUUGAGCUUAAAAAAAGAAGAAGGAAAGCUACAUGCAGAAUCAGGAUAAGAAAUGCAUAUCUUGGAUGUCUCAGACUUUGAUGUCAUUUGCUUUAAAGAAUUUUGAGUAACACAUUAUGUUCAGCUGAAGCAAGGAAGUUGGGAUAAUAAAUGUAAAUUGAAAGGAGAGCUGAUGAUGUAAAUUUUCCUGAGUUGGCUUGCUUGUUUGUUUUUGAAGAUAAAGGUUGGAACAGA